UAAUUUUUUUAUGUUGUAGAAUUUAUCAAUCUUUUGAUUUAUAGCUUUUGUGUCAUAUUUAAAUAGGCCUCUUCUAUACCAAGAUUAUAAAACACUUCUCCCAGGUUUCUUCUAAUACUUAUAUGCUUUCAUUUUUACAAUUAAAUCUUUGAUUCAUUUGGAAUUUAUCCUGAUGUAGAAUAUGAGAUAUAGCUCUAAUGUUAUUUUUUUCUAGACAGCUACCCAAUAGCAUUUAUUGAAUAAUCCAUCUUCAGUGGUUUGAGAUGCCGCGUUGCUACCUUUUGUUAUAUUAAUAAUUAUGGCGAGCAUACUAUGAAUCAAGUGUUGUGUUAGGUACUAUGGCAAAAUGUAAAAGUGUAAUAUAGUUCUUGCAGCCAGAAAUUACUAUCUAGGUAUAGCAACAAACUCAAGGAAACAUUCAUGGAAAAAAAAUCAAAUAGUGGGUUGUAUCAAAGAAGGUUUUAUGGAGGGGCAGGCAUCAGUUCUUUCCUGACAGUUACAAAUGGAAUUAGAGAAUAGGAACACACAAAAGAGAAAUAGGGGGAGAAAAGAAACGGAAAAUACCUCCUUAUACUCAUUAUCCAAAGGUUAUCCUAAGUUACAGGGAGACUGCAUGUUGAUUAGCAAAUAUUAAAUGAGUGAGGUAUGAAGUACACAAUAAGCAGAGUGAAGUAGAGUGCCAUUUAUCAAACACCGGCCAGGUGGUCCUUUGCUUGUUUGGCGUUCUUUUCUCUCUUCCUUUUCUCUGCCUUUCUUUGCAAUGUGCAUUCAUGCAAUGGGAAAUGACACCAAAGCUACUGGAAUAUGCAACGGGAAUGCUAACAGCUACCAUGAAGGACUGUCCAGGAUGCAUUCGCAUUGGUCUAUUUAUCUGUCUCCUGAGGAUCUACCUCUUAUGAAAAAUUGACAAUUUACCUUGUGAAAGAAAGGAGUAUGGGAAUAGGAAGGGACCCUGUAUCUUUAAACAUAUUUCAACAAGAAGUCAUUCUGUUUACCUGAUACCAAUGUUUUCCAUAUAUUUUUAUAAUUUCACUCAUUUUCCUUAUUCCUAACAUUCUGACCAUAAGUAAAAGCUAAGCUACUUCUGGUCCAGUUACAUUCCUUUGUUUUUUAUCUUUAAAUAUGUUGUAAGUAUUAACAUAAUCAAUAAAACAUAAUAAAAAGGAUUGACA
rnacentral:lncRNA from 1 species